UAUAAGAGAAACACCUCAGUUACAUCAGAGUUUCAAUGAGUUUAAUAUACCAGUGCCCAUCAAUAUUGUCUAAUUGCAAAUUUUAAUUACACAAGACAAAACUUCAACUCUUCUGAAUUCUGCUCUGAAUUAGGUUGUCCCAGCAAGUGGAGAGAAGGAAGAGCAGCAGAGUGACUCAGGGCAGGUCAGAGAUGAUCAUGGAGGGACAGGAUAAAAUCCAGUGAUGGCCACUGGGACUUCACUGUCACGGGAGAGGGAUACCAAAAUCUGCAUAUUAAACCCCAGGAAAACUAGGGAGAGAAAAGUCCCAGGAUGACCUUUUUACUUCAGUCUUCCCAAGCAACAACUCAGUGAAGGUUUGGGAGAAUGCACUAAGAAAUUAUCCACAUGGAUUUCAUGUUCUUGGAUUUUUCCUAGGCAUGAGAUGAGGAGAGAUAUCCUUCACCUGAUCCAACCCAGCAGAUUAUUCUUCUGCACAUAAUUUCUAAAAAUAUCCCUUCAAGUGAGGAAAGGUGAGAAGAGCUACCAGAGCAGUUCUGAGGUACAAACAGCCUCC